UGGGGGAAUAUUGCACAAUGGGCGAAAGCCUGAUGCAGCAACGCCGCGUGAGGGACGACGGGCCUCGGGUUGUAAACCUCUUUAGCAAGGAAGAAGCGAAAGUGACGGUACUUGCAGAAAAAGCGCCGGCUAACUACGUGCCAGCAGCCGCGGUAAUACGUAGGGCGCAAGCGUUAUCCGGAAUUAUUGGGGCGUAAAGAGCUCGUAGGCGGUUUGUCGCGUCUGCUGUGAAAACCCGAGGCUCAACCUCGGGCCUGCAGUGGGUACGGGCAGACCUAGAGUGCGGUAGGGGAGAUUGGAACUCCUGGUGUAGCGGUGGAAUGCGCAGAUAUCAGGAAGAACACCGAUGGCGAAGGCAGAUCUCUGGGCCGUAACUGACGCUGAGGAGCG
rnacentral:rRNA from 1 species